UAUUGAAAUUAUAAUCUUAUAUUUGGCUGAUUAGAAAAGCUAACAAAAGUAUCGUUGCAGUGAUAUAGAUUGUUGUUCACACCUACCUCGCUUCAGUCUCCAACGAUACACUUUGUACUGAACACAAGUUUUUUUUUGUGAAUUUUAUUGUUUCCGAAUACCUAAAUUAUGGCUGAUAAAGGAUGUUGUUCUGGAGGAGAAAGCGCCGAGAAAGGUAGCACUGAAAAAUGCUGCAAUCCUCAGAAAGCUUGCUGUGAAGGGUGUAACUGCUCGUGUUGUCAAAAUAAGCAGAGGGAUGAGCCAGGAAAUUGCACUUGUGAAGCAGCCAAUUGUAAAUGUUGUGGGGGUUGCAAAUGCAGUCACAAAUCCGCUGAAUAAAUUGCCAGUUUGAGUUCUAUGAAAAUGUUA